rnacentral:snRNA from 14 species
AUCGCUUCUCGGCCUUUUGGCUAAGAUCAAGUGUAGUAUCUAAGUACAUGGAGCCAUUGGACAUGACUUGUGAGAUGAGCAGGAGAUUGAAUUUUC